GGCGCGGUACGCAAACCCUGGCAAAGCGGCCGGCUUGAGAGGCUGGUGUCUGCGGGUUCGAUUCCCGCUCGCGCUA
rnacentral:tRNA from 1 species